ensembl:processed_transcript Gm10125 predicted gene 10125
GCAGCCCGCGCCCGCCCGCCGCAAGUUUGUUCCCCGCCGCUGCGGCCUGCGCGGAGAGAGGAUCGCGCGCGGGGAGGCGCCGAGGGGCAGCAAGAGUGGAGAAAGUGCGGAAAGAAGCAACAGCCGCUCCACCCGCGGGCGGAAAAGUGGCCGGGCGCGGCGGCGGGAUGCGGCGCAGCUAACGGUCCCCGGCGGCCGCCGGAGCCGCUAGGCGCAGAGGCAGCUCACAAGUGUAGGGCUGGAGCUACAGGAACCAUCCAGGUGCACUGGCUUGGCCUCUGCAUCUUUCUGUGCCACUGUCUCAUUCUGUUUCCGGCUGUGCGUGGAUGCGGAUGGCCCAGAGAGAGAAAGAACACGGAGGAGAAGGUUAGAGACCUGCAGUUCCACCAAGCUCUUGCUUGGCUAUUAAUUGCAUCCAGCUAUGUUGGUGCUGUCAUAGUCCCACCUGGGGUCAUUGUUAAUAACACUCGUCAAGAACUGUGUGGGAACUUCUGCCUCCUUAAAGGGCUUUAGAACUCAUAUGAUAUGUACUCACUGAUAAGUGGAUAUUAGCCCAGAAACUUAGAAUAAAUACCCAAGAUACAAUUUCCAAGACAGAUGAAACUGAAGAAGAACGAAGACCAAAGUGUGGACACUUCGCCCCUUCUUAGAAUUGGGAAGAAAACACCCAUGGAAGGAGUUAGGGAGACAAAGUUUGGAGCUGAGGCGAAAUGAUGGACCAUCCAGAGACUGCCACACCCGGGGAUCCAUCCCAUAAUCAGCCACCAAACGCAGACACUAUUGCAUGCGCCAGCAAGAAUUUUUGAAAGGACCCUGAUAUAGCUGUCUCUUGUGAGGCUAUGCCAGUGCCUGGCAAACACAGAAGUGGAUGCUCACAGUNNNNNNNNNNNNNNNNNNNNNNNNNNNNNNNNNNNNNNNNNNNNNNNNNNNNNNNNNNNNNNNAACCCUAUAGGUGGAACAACAAUAUGAACUAACCAGUACCCCCAGAGCUCGUGUCUCUAGCUGCAUAUGUAGAAGAAGAUGACCUAGUCGGCCAUCAUUGGGAAGAGAGGCCCCUUGGUCUUGCAAACUUUAUGCCCCAGUACAGGGGAAACACCAGAGCCAAGAAGUGGGAGUGAGUGGGUAGGGGAGCCGGGGGUGUAUAGGCAACUUUCAAGGUAGCAUUUGAAAUGUAAAUGAAGAAAAUUCCUAAUAAAAAUUGGAAAAAUAAAAAAUAAUAAUUAGGAAGCUAACCUAUUGUUAUAAAAGUGCAAUAGCAACAGUUUAAAGGGUGUUGUGUUCUUUGCUAAUUAGGAUCUCACUUGAUCUCCGUAACAGUACAAUGACUGGAAGAUCCCUUGGAAACUGCGGGUCUUAGGGGUUACUAAACCAAUCUGUCCAGCCUAGGGUGGUCAGGGAUGGGGACACAGUGUGCUGUUGGGUUGAGGUGACUGCAACCCUGGCCUUAACGGACAUCUAAACUAUUUAACCCAAAGUGAUUUGGGCUAGUUAUGGAAAGUGAAGUGUGUAACAGUGCUGACCAAGUGCAGACACCAUGUGAGAACUUGUCAUUUAGUGGCUUAGUGUCCUUUGCCUUGUUUAUUUCUCCUGAUCUCUGAAGAGCUGCCCAGGUGGAACAAGGCAAAUCAUACCUCAAGGUUAUUGAUAGGGAAGUAGAUAUUGUUAGCUUAGAAGGUAGAUAUCUGCCCAGCUCUGGUACUUUAAAGGCAUAUUAUAAAUAUAAAGGUUUUUUUUUAUCUUUUGUCUGGGAACUGAACAAUCAAAGGUGGGGUUAGAGAUUAUUACCACACUCGAUCCUCCAUUCUCCAUGAAAUACAUCCCUUCUAAACCUGGAGGACCCUAUCCUUGCUUGGCUUCUCUGACACUCUCAAGCAACUCCUUGUCAGGCCCUCUUAGUUGUUGACCUCCCUACACUGCAUGCCAGAGAGCCAGGCUCUGCCCCAGAUUCUUUACAGUUUCUCUCUCCACUUUGUUUUUCUGAUUCUCAUCUUCAUACCAGAGACUUAAUAUCUGCCUGCCAAUGAACUAUAUCUAAGGUCUUAAGAUGGUCGUCAGCACCUACAAUUGCCCCACCUUAGAUGAGAUACUCUUUCUUUCCUGUCCUUCACUCUUUCCUAGCUGCACCAGCCUUGUGUCAUUCCUUGAAAUGCCAGACACAUUCCUACCUUGGCACAGAAGCCUACUUCUAAAUCCAAAUUGGAAUGCUCUCAUGAAAAUGUGGUACAUUGAUCAAUACUAAUUUUUAAAUGCUCUUAUUAAAGGAAUUCAUAAUGUAA